AUUUAAAUAGUUUAAUUAAAAACAUAAUAUUGAAGAUAUUAAAAUAAUAAAAUAAUUUUUAAAUA
rnacentral:tRNA from 1 species